rnacentral:tRNA from 2 species
GGGCCCGUAGUAAAGUGGCAUUACGCGGCAUUCGCAUUGCCGAGGCACGAGUCCGAUUCUCGUCGGGUCCA